rnacentral:tRNA from 1 species
GCCCGGCUGGCACAAUCGGUAGCGCGUGAGACUCUUAAUCUCAAGUUAAUCUCAAGGUUGUGGGUUCGAGCCCCACGUCGGGCU